UUUCAACGGAGAGUUUGAUCCUGGCUCAGGACGAACGCUGGCGGCGUGCUUAACACAUGCAAGUCGAGCG
rnacentral:rRNA from 1 species